UGCGACCUCAGGUCAGGCGGGGCUA
rnacentral:rRNA from 3 species